GGGCCGGUAGAUCAGCGGAAGAUCGCCACCUUGGCAUGGUGGAGGUCACGGGUUCAAAUCCCGUCCGGUCCA
rnacentral:tRNA from 1 species